rnacentral:rRNA from 1 species
AGAGUUUGAUCCUGGCUCAGAACGAACGCUGGCGGCGUGGAUAAGACAUGCAAGUCGAGCGCUGAUUAAAGGGUAGCAAUAUCUUUUAAUCGGAGCGGCGCAAGGGUGCGUAACACGUGGGUAAUUUGCCAUAAAGUUGGGGAUAACUCGCUGAAAGGCGAGCUAAUACCGAAUGUGGCCUGAUGGAGGCAUCUCCGUUUGGCUAAAGUUGGGGACCGCAAGGCCUGACGCUUUAUGAUGAACCCGCGGCCUAUCAGCUAGUUGGUGAGGUAACGGCCCACCAAGGCUAAGACGGGUAGCUGGUCUGAGAGGACGACCAGCCACACUGGAACUGAGACACGGUCCAGACACCUACGGGUGGCAGCAGUCGAGAAUUUUUCACAAUGGGCGAAAGCCUGAUGGAGCGACGCCGCGUGGGGGAUGAAUGGCUUCGGCCCGUAAACCCCUGUCAUUUGCGAACAAACCUUUUCAUUUAACAGACGAAAAGCUGAUUGUAGCGGAAGAGGAAGGGACGGCUAACUCUGUGCCAGCAGCCGCGGUAAUACAGAGGUCCCAAGCGUUGUUCGGAUUCACUGGGCGUAAAGGGUGCGUAGGUGGUCGGAUAAGUUUGAUGUGAAAUCUCGGAGCUUAACUCCGAAACUGCAUUGAAUACUAUCUGGCUGGAGGGUCGGAGGGGGGACUGGAAUUCUCGGUGUAGCAGUGAAAUGCGUAGAUAUCGAGAGGAACACCAGUGGCGAAGGCGAGUCCCUGGACGACUCCUGACACUGAGGCACGAAAGCUAGGGGAGCAAACAGGAUUAGAUACCCUAGUAGUCC